CAUCAUUUAAAGAAAGCGUAAUAGCUCACUAGUCGAGUCGGCCUGCGCGGAAGAUGUAACGGGGCUGAAAUAUAGCACCGAAGCUGCGGCAUCAGGCGUAUCACUAAUACGCCUUACGAUUAACAACAUGGAAUGGUGCGAAGCGACAUGAAAGGUUGUUCAAGCAACCCGAACGUUGAGUCGGGCAUCUUUGAGUAAGGAUGAUUAGUGAUACGCCUGUUGGGUAGGGGAGCGUUCUGUAAGCGGAUGAAGGUGGCUCGAGAGGGCUGCUGGACGUAUCAGAAGUGCGAAUGCUGACAUAAGUAACGAUAAAACGGGUGAAAAACCCGUUCGCCGGAAGACCAAGGGUUCCUGUCCAACGUUAAUCGGGGCAGGGUGAGUCGGCUCCUAAGGCGAGGCUGAAAAGCGU
rnacentral:rRNA from 1 species